rnacentral:lncRNA from 1 species
UCCACUGUUCAAACGGACAGAAUCUCCCCUGUAUUUGCACGACGUCGCACAAGUACAAGAUACAACCGCACAGUAUAAUAAUCCAUAUACAAUCACCACAUAACAUAUACCAUUCACAUUUAUUCCAUCACCAGUUUAUCAUAAUCCACAUCUAUUAGUUUAAAAUGUUUCCCACUCAGAAACUUAUUUUGAAAUACUAAGAAUCAUGAAAACCAGAAAAUCUUUUUUAAAACCGUUUCCCACACGGAAACCUUUUCCUUCAAAAACAUGCUACCAUGAGGAGUAGAAAAUCGUUUUCAUCACAUAAUAAAAUCAUAAGUACUUUAUUACUUUCACAAAACCACAUGUGUCCAAAUAAAGUAAAACCAACCGAACCAUAAUGUCUAAGCAGGAGAAAUAGAUUAGAAAUUAAACCGUGAUUCACCGGGCUGGAGCACUCUACGACCACUAACCGCGUGCCUCACGAACCGUCCCGACUCGGACCAGCAACGUCAUCUGAAAGGGUGUCACGCCCUGCGACCGCCAAUUUGGUCGGUUCGGGUACGUCAACAGACGCCGAGCGGACAGCACCUCUCCUAUUCGCCCAAGGCUCCACCAACAUGUAUAAUAAAGCAAUUCAAUACAAGACGAAUGCACUUAUACAUGGCUUGCUCGAGGGCAAUCAACAGCAAGUAGUGAAAGCUCUAAGCUACUAC